GUAGCACACCCAUGACUCCUCUUCUUGGGCGAAACCUGGGAUCCACUGCACUGUCCCCAUACCCUGCUGCGAUCUCUGGACUGCAGGGAUAGCUCAAAAACGGCUGAACUUUGACACUUCAAACGUGGCAUGUAAAUAGUCCUUAACGAGAAGGAAAACUCACACUGAAGAUGAAAAUCACCCCUGUGCAGUGGGCUGGCUGAAGAGCCAGCGUAUGAGGCACAGCAGCCAUUCUACAGAGAACUCUCCAAUUGAGCGACGAAGUCUCAUGACCUCAGAUGAAAAUUAUCACAACGAAAGGGCUCGGA